rnacentral:ncRNA from 1 species
GAACGGGACUCGUAAGACCUGGAUUGGGCUGCUCCGAUGUAAGUCGGUGAUACUCCGGUAGCCAAGGAUCUUCCUUGGCGAGCACGGUGAGAAUCGGCCCCCAGGGUGAGCCCGUUU